rnacentral:rRNA from 1 species
GACGAACGCUGGCGGCGUGCUUAACACAUGCAAGUCGAACGGACAGGCCCUGCUCUUGCGGGGUGCUCGUGUGGCGAACGGGUGAGUAACACGCGAGUAACCUGCCCUUGAAUUUGGGAUAACUUCAGGAAACUGGGGCUAAUAUCGGAUAGGAGCUCCUGCUGCAUGGUGGGGGUUGGAAAGUUUCGGCGGUUGGGGAUGGACUCGCGGCUUAUCAGCUUGUUGGUGUGGUAGUGGCGUACCAAGGCUUUGACGGGUAGCCGGCCUGAGAGGGUGACCGGCCACAUUGGGACUGAGAUACGGCCCAGACUCCUACGGGAGGCAGCAGUGGGGAAUAUUGCACAGUGGGCGGAAGCCUGAUGCAGCAACGCCGCGUGCGGGAUGACGGCCUUCGGGUUGUAAACCGCUUUCGCCUGUGACGAAGAGUGAGUGACGGUAAUGGGUAAAGAAGCACCGGCUAACUACGUG